CGCGUAGGCGGUGUGUCAAGUCAGAUGUGAAAGCCCUCGGCUCAACCGGGGACGUGCAUUUGAAACUGGCAGACUUGAGUAUUGGAGGGGGUGGUGGAAUUCCCGGUGUAGAGGUGAAAUUCGUAGAUAUCGGGAGGAAUACCGGUGGCGAAGGCGACCACCUGGCCAAAUACUGACGCUGAGGUGCGAAAGCGUGGGGAGCAAACA
rnacentral:rRNA from 1 species